rnacentral:rRNA from 1 species
UACGUAGGGUGCGAGCGUUGUCCGGAAUUAUUGGGCGUAAAGAGCUCGUAGGCGGUCUGUCGCGUCGGAUGUGAAAACUCGGGGCUCAACCCCGAGCCUGCAUUCGAUACGGGCAGACUAGAGUUCGGUAGGGGAGACUGGAAUUCCUGGUGUAGCGGUGAAAUGCGCAGAUAUCAGGAGGAACACCGGUGGCGAAGGCGGGUCUCUGGGCCGACACUGACGCUGAUGCGCGAAAGCCAGGGGAGCGAACGGG